AGAUUUAAAAAUUUCCGCGGGCA
rnacentral:tRNA from 5 species